UACUGUAUCUCAAUUUGAUUGCAUGUAUUCGAAACAUUAACUGUUGUUGCCAGAGAAUUUAUACAAAUACCAAAAUUUGAUAUUUGUAAAUGAUUCAUUCGAAAAAUUUGACAAAAUCUCUGGAAAAUCUCGCACGUUUACAGAUAUUUUGGAAUCUUUCAGUGAAAUAUUUGUAAAUUUCAAAUAUUUUACGCCAGAAGAAAGCACAGAUUGUAUGAAAACAUAUUAUUGUUUCACAGACAAAUUCAAGUAAUCCAACACGGUGGCAAAAACAAAAAAUGUAUAUUUAACGUAUUGUUUUGAAUAUGUUACAGCAGCAUUUAUCUUUGAAAGCGUGGUGUUCUUGGCAGAAAGAUCCAAGCAUUACAUUCAGUAAUUUACACUGUGAAAUCGAAUUGGUGGAAGCAACCAACAAAUUGAAUGUUUCUCAUUCAAAAUGAAUGCGAGACUUACAACGUUAUAGUUUCAACCAAAUAGUUUCAGUGUACUAAGAAUGAAAUGCCUAAAAUGGAGCAAAUGUCUGUGUCUGCAAUCAUUGACAUUUGAGAAUUUUUUUUAAAGCACUAAAGAAAAGAAGCAACAAUUUCGUGUUGAUGGGGGAAGUGUGACAUUCCGUGUUGAUAUUUUAUGGUAUCAUGUAUUCCUAGUGAAGAUUCCAGAUUGCAAUAAGGAUAGAUUCAGUUACAAUUUUUUAAAGUUAUUUAAAUACUGAUUUCAGUUAUUGUUUAGAGUAAUGGCUAAACUGGCUGAUGCUGAAGAAGAAUCACUGUUCUAAAAAGAAAAAAUGUAACAGCAUCAAGGGUAAGUUUGUCCUAGAUGAAAUCUAUUCACGUUUCAUUUUAAGCUUCCAUUUAAACAGGAAACGAAGGGAGACAUGCUACCAGGACCAACCAUCUGAGUCCAAGUCUAAGAAGAUCAAUAUAACAAAGAACACUGUUCUGCAAAGAGAGGCAACCAAUUAUAAUUUAUAUACACAAAGCAAGAAUGUGGGUUUUGUAAAUAUAUAAAUGAUAUUAUAGUAAGUAAGCACGAAGAUGGUGAAAAAUUACGAGAACCACUGAGUAUUUUAAUAAAAUAUAAAACGACGGUAACUCCGAAAAUAAUCAUUUUAACGAAUGCUAAAAUGUUUAAUUUCGGAGUUACCGUUGUUAUAUAUUUGAGAUGGUGAAAGAUGUAGGCACAAUUAGUAGGAAGGGAAGAACCUAAUACAACAAAUAUAAAACACAAAAAUGUUUUGUAACGGAUUUUAGAAUUUAAUAAAACGCAAAAAAGGCACAUGUAUAACCAAUCGUGGCGUGGGUUUUGAGAUGAAGAUGUUUCCAAACUGAAGUGUUUCCAAUGUGUUUUCAUUUGAUAAAAUUGAUUUCACAACACCUGCUGUUUUUAUAAACGAACAGCAUUUUUAUUCUGCAAUCUAUUGCAAUGUUCACAACCUUUCAGAAUUGCAGAGUAAAAACAGAGACAAGUCUCUAACUUAGAUUGUUAAAGUGCCUGUGGCACGAAAUUUGACCACAAAGGUUUAUGGUUGCAUUGUAAAGAUAUUUCUUUUAUAGAAUUUUGGUAACUGGCUGCAAAUAUCACCGGUGUGACAUCACAUCACAUAAUGAGUUUUCAGAAAAGUAUAGUUUUCUUGUCGAAUACGUAUCUAAAAAACUUAAAAAUUG
rnacentral:lncRNA from 1 species